GACCAAGGAGUCUAACAUGUGCGCGAGUCAUUGGGACAGCGAAGCCUAAAGGCGCAAUGAAAGUGAAGGUCGACCUCGCGUCGAUCGAGGGAGGAUGGGCCGCGUCACGGCGCGGCCUCGCACUCCCGGGGCGUCUCGUUCUCAUUGCGAGAAGAGGCGCACCCAGAGCGUACACGUUGGGACCCGAAAGAUGGUGAACUAUGCCUGGUCAGGACGAAGUCAGGGGAAACCCUGAUGGAGGUCCGUAGCGAUUCUGACGUGCAAAUCGAUCGUCGGAACUGGGUAUAGGGGCGAAAGACUAAUCGAACCAUCUAGUAGCUGGUUCCCUCCGAAGUUUCCCUCAGGAUAGCUGGCACUCGGCCGUUCUCACGAACGCGCGCGAGUCUCAUCUGGUAAAGCGAAUGAUUAGAGGCCUUGGGGCCGAAACGACCUCAACCUAUUCUCAAACUUUAAAUGGGUGAGAUCUCUGGCUUGCUUGAACGUGAAGCCACGAGAUUUCGGAUCAGAGUGCCAAGUGGGCCAGUUUU
rnacentral:rRNA from 1 species